rnacentral:lncRNA from 1 species
CAUUUAGGAAAACAUCAUAACCACGGCUCCUCAGAGAAUGAUCUGCUGAGAAGCAAAGUAAAACCCAAACAAAAGGAAAGAAUCAAACAUGAAACUAAAAGAAUAAUGAUCAAUUCUGAUCAUGACAACAUAUAAUUUGGUUUCAAAGGUGAUUGAUCCACCCAUUAAUGACAAGAACCCAUAAAUAUUAUUAAGCAUAAACUGUUGAUAUAACCAUCACAAGAAUCAGAUAAUAAAAAUAAACAUAAAGGACAAAUGGAUACAUGCAAACUAGAUGCCAUCAUAAAAAGAAGAAGAGGACAUAACAAUUUCCUUCUUUAUCAAAUUCUUCUAAAACUGCCCGUUGUAUUUCAUUUAUCUUGCUGAAAAGUAACCAGCUAUAGAAAGUAAAUACAUUGCAUCAAAUUUUGACAGCCAAACAACCAACGAACGAUCAAAAAACAAUACUGGAAGUAAGUAUUCCUGAUCAAUUCUCUCAUUCUCUUGGCUAAUAAAAUUGUCUCUGUCCAAGCUAACAAAUGGCUAACGGAGAUGAAGAGGCCUAACUGUUCCUUUUCUGGAAACAAUCAAAUAUUGCAUAACAAGAAAGGAACUCCUACUAAGAAUGUGAUACUUGUUGACAUUUACCAAGAUGGACCCCGACUUCAAAGGGAAGCUUGCUGUAGUCCAGUGACAAAGGAUUUAGAUUCAUUCAUUUAUUAGAAUUGAAGUUAAUGUAAUACCAUUACAUGUGUAAUGUGCCUCCAUGAGAAGUAGUAACUCCAUCUACAAAUCAUCCAUAAAUGCAACUCAAAU